rnacentral:rRNA from 1 species
GCCGCGUGUAUGAAGAAGGCCUUCGGGUUGUAAAGUACUUUCAGUCGUGAGGAAGGCGGCGUCGUUAAUAGCGGCGUUGUUUGACGUUAGCGACAGAAGAAGCACCGGCUAACUCCGUGCCAGCAGCCGCGGUAAUACGGAGGGUGCGAGCGUUAAUCGGAAUUACUGGGCGUAAAGCGCAUGCAGGUGGUUUGUUAAGUCAGAUGUGAAAGCCCGGGGCUCAACCUCGGAAUAGCAUUUGAAACUGGCAGACUAGAGUACUGUAGAGGGGGGUAGAAUUUCAGGUGUAGCGGUGAAAUGCGUAGAGAUCUGAAGGAAUACCGGUGGCGAAGGCGGCCCCCUGGACAGAUACUGACACUCAGAUGCGAAAGCGUGGGGAGCAAACAGGAUUAGAUACCCU